rnacentral:rRNA from 1 species
AUUGAACGCUGGCGGCAGGCUUAACACAUGCAAGUCGAGCGGUAGCACAAGAGAGCUUGCUCUCUGGGUGACGAGCGGCGGACGGGUGAGUAAUGUCUGGGAAACUGCCUGAUGGAGGGGGAUAACUACUGGAAACGGUAGCUAAUACCGCAUAACGUCGCAAGACCAAAGAGGGGGACCUUCGGGCCUCUUGCCAUCAGAUGUGCCCAGAUGGGAUUAGCUAGUAGGUGGGGUAAUGGCUCACCUAGGCGACGAUCCCUAGCUGGUCUGAGAGGAUGACCAGCCACACUGGAACUGAGACACGGUCCAGACUCCUACGGGAGGCAGCAGUGGGGAAUAUUGCACAAUGGGCGCAAGCCUGAUGCAGCCAUGCCGCGUGUGUGAAGAAGGCCUUCGGGUUGUAAAGCACUUUCAGUGAGGAGGAAGGUGGUGAACUUAAUACGUUCAUCAAUUGACGUUACUCGCAGAAGAAGCACCGGCUAACUCCGUG